GUAUUUAUCUGGCAGGGGAGAUCCCAUGAUCACAAAGGCAGCCUUCCCAGGGCGAGGCUCACCCAUCACACUCUGGAUGGGCUGACCCCUGCCAUUUCCCCGAAAGUGGGAGACUCAGCUGCAUAAUUUGUGGUAGUGGGAGACUGUGUUUGUGCUCUUCCCUG